CCUACGGUGGGCAGCAGUGGGGAAUAUUGGACAAUGGGCGAAAGCCUGAUCCAGCCAUGCCGCGUGUGUGAAGAAGGCCUUCGGGUUGUAAAGCACUUUCAGUGGGGAAGAAAGCCUUGGGGCUAAUACCCUCGAGGAAGGACAUCACCCACAGAAGAAGCACCGGCUAACUCCGUGCCAGCAGCCGCGGUAAUACGGAGGGUGGAGCGUUAAUCGGAAUUACUGGGCGUAAAGCGCGCGUAGGCGGUCUGAUAAGCCGGUUGUGAAAGCCCCGGGCUCAACCUGGGAACGGCAUCCGGAACUGUCAGGCUAGAGUGCAGGAGAGGAAGGUAGAAUUCCCGGUGUAGCGGUGAAAUAGGUAGAGAUCGGGAGGAAUACCAGUGGCGAAGGCGGCCUUCUGGACUGACACUGACGCUGAGGUGCGAAAGCGUGGGUAGCAAACAGGAUUAGAUACCCUGGUAGUC
rnacentral:rRNA from 1 species